UGUAAUAGACAUCAACGAAUGCGCCUCUAAUGACGACAGAGGACGCUGUGAACAUGUCUGUGCAAACACAGAUGGUAGUUUCACCUGUAGCUGUGACAGCGGCUACACUCUCAACACGGACAGGCUGACGUGUGAUGACAUAAAUGAAUGUGCAGAAAAUGACGACAGAGGACCCUGUGAACAUACCUGUGCAAACACAGAUGGUAGCUUCAACUGUAGCUGUGAAACUGGCUACACUCUCAACACGAACAGGCGCACGUGUGAUGACAUAGAUGAAUGUGCAGAAAAUGACGACAGAGGACCCUGUGAACAUACCUGUGCAAACACAGAUGGCAGCUUCAUCUGUAGCUGUGACUCUGGCUACAAUCUCA